AGUAGAAUGGCUGAGGUUAAUAAGUGGUAGAUUGUAAGUCUAUUAAGGGGUGAGAUACACCCUUCUACUA
rnacentral:tRNA from 1 species